CUCGUAGGUGGUUUGUCGCGUUGUUCGUGAAAUCUCACGGCUUAACUGUGAGCGUGCGGGCGAUACGGGCAGACUUGAGUACUGCAGGGGAGACUGGAAUUCCUGGUGUAGCGGUGGAAUGCGCAGAUAUCAGGAGGAACACCGGUGGCGAAGGCGGGUCUCUGGGCAGUAACUGACGCUGAGGAGCGAAAGCGUGGGGAGCGAACAGGAUUAGAUACCCUGGUAGUCCACGCCGUAAACGGUGGGUACUAGGUGUGGGUUUCCUUCCUUGGGAUCCGUGCCGUAGCUAACGCAUUAAGUACCCCGCCUGGGGAGUACGGCCGCAAGGCUAAAACUCAAAGAAAUUGACGGGGGCCCGCACAAGCGGCGGAGCAUGUGGAUUAAUUCGAUGCAACGCGAAGAACCUUACCUGGGUUUGACAUGCGCAGGACGCCGGCAGAGAUGUCGGUUCCCUUGUGGCCUGUGUGCAGGUGGUGCAUGGCUGUCGUCAGCUCGUGUCGUGAGAUGUUGGGUUAAGUCCCGCAACGAGCGCAACCCUUGUCUCAUGUUGCCAGCGGGUAAUGCCGGGGACUCGUGAGAGACUGCCGGGGUCAACUCGGAGGAAGGUGGGGAUGACGUCAAGUCAUCAUGCCCCUUAUGUCCAGGGCUUCACACAUGCUACAAUGGCCGGUACAAAGGGCUGCGAUGCCGCGAGGUUAAGCGAAUCCUUUUAAAGCCGGUCUCAGUUCGGAUCGGGGUCUGCAACUCGACCCCGUGAAGUCGGAGUCGCUAGUAAUCGCAGA
rnacentral:rRNA from 1 species